rnacentral:rRNA from 1 species
UAGGGAAUCUUCCGCAAUGGGCGAAAGCCUGACGGAGCAACGCCGCGUGAGUGAUGAAGGUCUUCGGAUCGUAAAACUCUGUUGUUAGAGAAGAACAGCGCAUAGAGUAACUGUUAUGCGUGUGACGGUAUCUAACCAGAAAGCCACGGCUAACUACGUGCCAGCAGCCGCGGUAAUACGUAGGUGGCAAGCGUUGUCCGGAUUUAUUGGGCGUAAAGCGAGCGCAGGCGGUCAAUUAAGUCUGAUGUGAAAGCCCCCGGCUCAACCGGGGAGGGUCAUUGGAAACUGGUUGACUUGAGUGCAGAAGAGGAGAGUGGAAUUCCAUGUGUAGCGGUGAAAUGCGUAGAUAUAUGGAGGAACACCAGUGGCGAAGGCGACUCUCUGGUCUGUAACUGACGCUGAGGCUCGAAAGCGUGGGUAGCAAACAGG